rnacentral:rRNA from 1 species
AGAGUUGUUCAUGGCUCAGAUUGAACGCUGGCGGCAGGCUUAACACAUGCAAGUCGAGCGGGAAGGGUAGCUUGCUACCUUACCUAGCGGCGGACGGGUGAGUAAUGCUUAGGAAUCUGCCUAUUAGUGGGGGGACAACAUCUCGAAAGGGAUGCUAAUACCGCAUACGUCCUACGGGAGAAAGCAGGGGACCUUCGGGCCUUGCGCUAAUAGAUGAGCCUAAGUCGGAUUAGCUAGUUGGUGGGGUAAAGGCCUACCAAGGCGACGAUCUGUAGCGGGUCUGAGAGGAUGAUCCGCCACACUGGGACUGAGACACGGCCCAGACUCCUACGGGAGGCAGCAGUGGGGAAUAUUGGACAAUGGGGGGAACCCUGAUCCAGCCAUGCCGCGUGUGUGAAGAAAGGCCUUUUGGUUGUAAAGCACUUUAAGCGAGGAGGAGGCUACCGAGAUUAAUACUCUUGGAUAGUGGACGUUACUCGCAGAAUAAGCACCGGCUAACUCUGUGCCAGCCGCUGC